GAUGAAGAACGCAGCGAAAUGCGAUAAGUAAUGAGAAUUGCAGAAUUCAGUGGAUCAUCGAAUCUUUGAACGCACAUUGCGCCCGCCAGUAUUCUGGCGGGCAUGCCUGUUCGAGCGUCAUUACAACCCUCAGGCCCCCGGGCCUGGCGUUGGGGAUCGGCGGAGCCCCCCGUGGGCACACGCCGUCCCCCAAAUGCAGUGGCGGUCCCGCCGCAGCUUCCAUCGCGUAGUAGCUAACACCUCGCGACUGGAGAGCGGCGCGGCCACGCCGUAAAACACCCAACUCUUCUGAAGUUGACCUCGAAUCAGGUAGGAAUACCCGCUGAACUUAAGCAUAUCAAUAAACGGAGGA
rnacentral:misc_RNA from 1 species